rnacentral:misc_RNA from 1 species
UUUCCGUAGGUGAACCUGCGGAAGGAUCAUUAAAAACAAUCCAUUGUUAACCAUCCGCGAACUUUGUUUAACCGUGAAAGUGAAGUGGAGAAGGGAGAUGUGGCGAAACAGGGAAACCUGUUUGUCUCUUCGUCCGAGUUUUUGUGCGCAAGCAUGAGAACAAACUUCAUUUUUGCUUCGCCAUGUUUCACACUUACUAUUAACCCCAUUUACCUUUAUUUUGUACUAACUUUUUUCUUUGAUCCCUUCGGAUCGAAUAAAAAUAAAAAAAUAACAUCGAACAACUCUUAACAACGGAUAUCUAGGCUCUC